GAAAAGCACCCCGGGAGGGGAGUGAAACAGUACCUGAAACCGUGCGCCCACGAGCAGUCGGAGCAACUUUUAAGUUGUGACGGCGUGCCUUUUGUAGAAUGAGCCAGCGAGUCGCUGGCGCGGGGCGAGGUUAACCGAAAGGGAGCCGGAGCGAAAGCGAGCCUUAACAGGGCGACUUGAGUCCCGCGCCGCGGACGCGAAGCCGGGUGAGCUAUCCGUGGGCAGGCUGAAGCGGGGGUAAGACCCCGUGGAGGGCCGAACGCACGUCGGUUGAAAACGGCGGCGAUGACCUGCGGAUAGGGGUGAAAGGCCAAUCAAACCCGGAGAUAUCUCGUUCUCCCCGAAAUAGCUUUAGGGCUAGCGUCGCGCGUUCACCGCCGGAGGUAGAGCACCGGAUGGACGAGGGGGCUUCGCCGCCUACCGAAUCCAACCGAACUCCGAAUGCCGGCGGCCCAGAGCGCGGCAGUCAGAGCAUGUGGGCUAAGCUGUGUGCUCGAGAGGGAAACAGCCCGGACCGCCCGCUAAGGUCCCCAAGUUCCAGCCGAGUGGCAAAGGAUGUGCGUCCGCCCAGACAACCAGGAUGUUGGCUUAGAAGCAGCCAUCCAUUCAAAGAGUGCGUAACAGCUCACUGGUCGAGUGGACAUGCGCCGACAAUACACGGGGCUAAGCUGGACACCGAAGCGGCGGGAUUUUAAUUCAUUAGAAUCGGUAGGGGAGCUUCCCAUGGGCGGAGAAGCCGGAGGGCGACCGACGGUGGAGCGCAUGGGAGUGAGAAUGCUGGCAUGAGUAGCGAGAGACGAGAGAGUAACUCGUCCGCCGUGAACCCGAGGUUUCCUGGGCAAGGCUAAUCCUCCCAGGGUCAGUCGGGGGCUAAGGCGAGGCCGGUAGGCGUAGCCGACGCGCAGCAGGCAGACAUUCCUGCACCGCGCACGCGGCGCUACGACCGACGGGGCGACGGAUGGGGGUGGCUCGGCGGGGUUCUGGACGUCCCCGUGAUGGAGCGCGGCCCGCGGACCAGGGAAAUCCGGUCCGCAUUGAGGGCGAGGCUCCGGACGAAGCGAUUGAGCGAAGCGAGUGAGCCCGAGGUCCCUAGAAAAACCCCUAGGCAGGCGCGUGCGCGCCCGUACCGCAAACCGACACAGGUGGGUGGGUAGAACAUACCGAGGCGAUCGGGUCAACCAUGGUCAAGGAACUCGGCACAAUGGCCCCGUAACUUCGGGAGAAGGGGUGCCCGCGCGUACGUGAACCGGCUCGCCCGGGGAGCGGAGGGGGGCCGCAGUGGAGAGGCCCAAGCGACUGUUUACCAAAAACACAGGACUCUGCAGAAGCCGCAAGGCGACGUAUAGGGUCUGACGCCUGCCCGGUGCCGGAAGGUCACGCGGAGGAGUUAGCCGAUUCGGCGAAGCCCCGAAGCCAAGCCCCGGUAAACGGCGGCCGUAACUAUAACGGUCCUAAGGUAGCGAAAUUCCUUGUCGGGUAAGUUCCGACCUGCACGAAAGGCGCAACGACUUGGGCGCUGUCUCGACCAUGGACCCGGUGAAAUUGCACUGGUCGUGAAGAUGCGACUUACCCGCGGAAGGACGGAAAGACCCCGUGAACCUUCACUGCAGCUUGGCAUUGGCCGCUGGUCCCGCGUGUAGAGGAUAGGCAGGAGGCACAGAUCCGGAGGCGCCAGCCCCCGGGGAGCCGCCCUUGGAAUACUGCCCUCGCGCGACCGGCGUCCUAACCCGAGGCCGUCAACCGGCUCGGGGACCGUGCCAGGCGGGCAGUUUGACUGGGGCGGUCGCCUCCUAAAGGGUAACGGAGGCGCGCGAAGGUCCGCUCGGGACGGUCGGCAACCGUCCUUUUGAAUGCAAGAGUACAAGCGGGCUUGACUGCGAGGCCCACAAGCCGAGCAGGUGCGAAAGCAGGCUCUAGUGAUCCGGCGGCCCCGAGUGGGUGGGCCGUCGCUCAACGGAUAAAAGGUACUCCGGGGAUAACAGGCUGA
rnacentral:rRNA from 1 species